UGAGUGUCAUGAAGACUCAUCCCUUCGGGUUUCCGAAGUGUGGUGGAUUUGGGUGUUGCCAUUUACACUGGCUCGCCUUAAAGAUCUAAGUGGUCGAUUAGGACGUAAUAAGUUUCGUUCGAGACUGCUCAUAACCCUUAGCCUCUGGCUAAACUCCAUGAUCUGACCUCAAAUCAGGUAGGGCUACCCGCUGAACUUAA
rnacentral:misc_RNA from 1 species